UAGUCCAUUCCGAAGUUGUAGUUUGUUUUGACAUUUCCGUUUUAUUUAACCUAACCUAUGUUUUGUGUUUUAUUGUGUUGUAUACAAGGAGUUGUAUAUUGAAAUUGAAUUGAUUCUUGUUUCAUUGAAUAUAGAGGAGUUGUUCUGUUGCAAGUUGUUCUAGUUUUGUUGUUUUAAAAUCUGCGAAAAACUAUUUAUAGAUAAUGGUGAACUUAAACAAGAAAUGGACAUGCAGUUUGCUGAUUACUUAAUUGUGUACUCACAACACAUAGGAUUUCUCUGACACAGUUUCCAGUACAGAACUGCCACAGGAAUCUCCAGUGGAGUUGCAACCGCUCUCACGGACGUCCACAAAUCAAGUUACAAAACUGUUACAUGACUCUAUUGGAGUUGCAACCGCAAUUGGAUAAAAGUGAAAUUCGAAUAAUGCCAGAAAGACUAUAACCGUCCAAAGUGAUAGUGUGAAAUUAAAAUCAAAUGAUUACGUAUAAAUCAUAUUUAUAAUAAUUAUAAAUAGUAGCUGUAUUUUUUAAAUAAACAGAUUUGAUAAGUUA
rnacentral:lncRNA from 1 species